CGAUGCAGCGACGCCGCGUGAAGGAAGAAGUGUUUCGGCAUGUAAACUUCUAUCAGCAGGGAAGAAAGUGACGGUACCUGACUAAGAAGCCCCGGCUAACUACGUGCC
rnacentral:rRNA from 1 species